CCGAAAUAUUGGAGAGGAAGAGAUAGAGGAAAAAUAUUUGAUCUUCUUCCUUGAGUUCAAAGAGCUUCCAUAGCCAAUUCCUUCAUCAAGAUCACAAAUAUUCGAAGAAUCAAAGGAAGUGGAAGAGUGAACAUCCAAAGGAAAUUAGUGUGAGUUCAAGAAGAAAAGGUAUGGAAUAGAUCUUGAUAUCCGAGAGCGAUAGAAGAGAAA